UGGCUCAGACGGUAAAGCAUCUGUCUACGAUGCAGGAGACCCAGGUUCGAUCCCUGG
rnacentral:tRNA from 1 species